GGGAAAUGGUCAACGUCACCUUCAUCCUAUAAAGCAAAUCCCAUUCCUUAUAAUUUCUCACUGGCAAUGCGUUUGGUAGAUCUUCAGAAAGUCCCAGCUUCGAUAUUCUUUCAGAAAGGUAGCAGAUACUCAAGGAUCAUGACUCAGUCAGUCAGUAACAGCAGUGGGAAGAAGCUUAUUCAAAUUGAUGUCAGUUCAGACACUGUAUGCCCAUGGUGCUAUGUUGGAAAGAGAAAUUUAGACAAAGCUAUAACUGCUUCUGAAGAUCAAUUUGAAUUUGAGAUCAAAUGGCAUCCGUUUUUUCUUAAUCCAUCAGCCCCUCAAGAAGGUGUAAAUAAGCUGCAGUUUUAUAGGGAAAAGUUUGGAUCCCGAACUGAUGGAAUUAUAGCUCAAAUGACAGAGGUUUCUUUUACCAUCAUCAUCUCUCUUUUACUUCUUAUUUGUAAAUUACAUGUACACGUGUUACCAUAUGCAAUGGCCUUUGAUUUUGGCUGGUAUGUAAUUAAGCCAUUCUAAUGCAAUUGGACAUUUGCAGGUUUAUAGGGGUCUUGGUCUGGAAUAUAACAUAUCAGGUCUCACGUAAGAUUCAAAUUCAUUUUAUUGUUGAUAUAUGGUCUGUUGUUAUAUGAGAAACUAAGCUGAGUUUCUUUGAUAUGACAUUAACAUCGUUUUGGAUAUGCACAGGGGCAAUACUUUAGAUAGCCACAGGCUUAUAUAUUUUGCUGGCCAACAGGGUCUUGAUAAGCAACAUAAUCUUGUAGAGGAGCUGUUCCUUGGUUACUUCACGCAAGCUAAAUACAUUGGUGAUAGGGAAUUUCUUCUGGAAUGUGCUGCAAAGGUUGGGGUAGAGGGGGCAGCAGAAUUCCUUGAAGAUCCCAAUAAUGGACUCAAGGAGGUAUGAUCAUCUAUUUUUGCUCCUUUUGAUUGCCACAAAGGCAGCUGAAAGCAUGAAACUAUGAAAUUUUAUUUUUGUUGCAAUAGGUUGUGGUUGCUCUAUUCAAAUCAAUGCUCAAAGAUUAAAGAAAUUUUUUCUUUAAAAAUUUCUUAAUGGCACUUUAAUGGUGCAACAUUUAAGUUUUCCAUGAUGCUUGCCUUGCAUUUUGGGGUAGAGAAAGUUUUGAAUCCUGCCAGUCAUAGUGGCCCAAUUUUUUAUUUCCUUGUUCAUAUUUGCAGCAAUCAACUAGACCCUGAGCUCUCUCUUUACUUUUUAGUUAAUUGCAUUAUAUUCCUUCGAUUUUUAUUCUUGGCUACAAACAAAUAAGUGGCUUUCUAUAUAUGAGCUGAACUUCCUCUUUAUGAUUCUUUAAAGGUCAACGAUGACCUCAAGAAGUACUCAGCAAAUAUCACAGGGGUCCCAUACUACGAGGUAUGCAACAAAAGAUCCAUUUUAUGAGUAUAUGUUUACAUCCAUAAAUAAAUAUAUGUCUGUCAUUUGGGGGUUAUACAUAUGCAUAAUCUUUUAGCAGAUCAAUGGAAAGCACAAGUUGAGCGGUGGCCAGCCCCCAGAGGUUUUCCUCAGAGCUUUUGAAGCUGCUGCAAAUUAACAGCCCCGCUCUAUUAACCCCUAUUUUAUUAUGCCAACAAGUAUCUCUUUGCAGUAUUGGAAUAAUAAAGGGACAUGUUGACAUGUACGUGCAUCCCUUGAAUCAUACUUGUAUAGGUUAUGCUAGAUGUUGGACGAAACAAUACAAAGUUUACAAUAAAUGGAGAUUUGGCUUUGUAGGCUUUGCAGUGUAUGUGAAACAUAAAUUAUAUUAUUAAAAUAUGUUUGUUUUUGUUCUUUGAUAUUUCAAAGGAUAGAAGACAAAUUUCUGUUGCAUCUAAGAUGAAG
rnacentral:misc_RNA from 1 species